rnacentral:sRNA from 1 species
CUAUGAGCAGGCAGUGAUUAAGGUUUAGCCCUGGCUGGAAUGUGGAAAUCCUGGCUGAGCUGGGCUUCUUCAGGCUAGGGGUUCUAAAGGCCUUGGGGCUGGAGGAGGGGGAAGCCAGCAGCUGGCCAGGGGAGCAGUGUGGGGGUGGCCAAUGCCCAGGCCUGGCCUGCAGGAAACACUCCCACCCUCUCAGCCCUGCCCACUUCUCUGCGUCCCACCCUUCUGCACCCAAACUCUCCACAGCCCUCGGGCCCAGGUGCGUCCCUUCAGCUCUGAGGGCGCUGCUCUCUCCUGCCUUGGCAUCCGGCCUCAGCUAAAGAGGGUCAUACACCUUUGUGAGAAACACAUGACUUUCUUCCCUGGCAGCUUUCAGGCAGUUCUUUAUGCCCAAUAUUCUGAAGCUGCCUUCCACUGUGUGUUGGAUCCUGCCUGUCACUAGGAGUCUCUCAGUCUCCUGCCCUUUGAGACUCUUUCUCUUGGUCUAGGGCCUGCCUAGGCCUCUGCCCCUCCACUUGAACUUAGUUCAGCAGUUGGCUUCCCCCACACCACCUGUUUCCCCCAGCGCUUCCACUUCUGAGGCUUGGGAUGCACAGACUGUUCCAAGAACUGUGCUUGCUGGGUGUCAAUUAUUCUCGCUUUUGGGGUGUGGACUCCUGCCCUGGUGGCUGCUGCCUGAGCACUAGUCCGGUGAUUCCCGCUCUGGGCCUCUCAGUUUCUGCCGCCUUGUGAGCUUCCCCAGUUACAUGUGGGCCUGGCUGAGUGUCCCCAUCUUUCUCUGGCUCCAAGAUGCUGGUGGCCCUGGUGAGGUCUGCCAUUGGUCUGCCAGGUCCCUCUGCACUGAGGCAGGGGAGGCCAGCAAGGAAUUCAGGGCUGCAGAGCCUUCCCUGCAGUUUCUUCUUUACAAACAGGAAUUCAAUCCCUAACCUGGGGUACAUGUGAGACCACAGGCAGGAGCCCCUCGAGGCAUGGGCACCAUGCCAGGCCUGUAGGGCACCUUCCUGCAGCAGGCAGAAUCCGCUUCCCAAGUAGGAGGGGAAAGUGACAAGGACCAGGGCCCAGGGAGGGAGCAGCAAGGCCGCGGGAAAGGGCAGCCAGCAUCCGGCUGAAUUUGGGCUGCCUCUGGGGAUUCCGGAGGGAGGACUGGUGGAGGACAAGGCACACUUGGCUCAGCAGCAUUCCCCUCCUCUCCCUAGGGAAACCUGUUUGACUUCUUACGCUUGACGGAAUGGCGUGGCCCCCGCGUGCUCUACUUCGGGGACCACCUCUAUAGUGAUCUGGCGGAUCUCAUGCUGCGGCACGGCUGGCGCACAGGCGCCAUCAUCCCCGAGCUGGAGCGUGAGAUCCGCAUCAUCAACACGGAGCAGUACAUGCACUCGCUGACAUGGCAGCAGGCGCUCACGGGGCUGCUGGAGCGCAUGCAGACCUAUCAGGACGCAGAGUCGAGGCAGGUGCUGGCUGCCUGGAUGAAAGAGCGGCAGGAGCUGAGCUGCCUGCUCAACUACCGCGUGGACUUCACCUUCUACCCACGCCGCACGCCGCUGCAGCACGAGGCACCCCUCUGGAUGGACCAGCUCUGCACCGGCUGCAUGAAGACCCCCUUCCUUGGCGACAUGGCCCACAUCCGCUGAGGGCACCUUUAUUGUCUGGGACAGGCCCCCAGCCCCUCCCGCCCCAUCCACCCAGACAAGCAAUAAAAGUGGUCUCCUCCCUG